UUUCCAUGAUGAUAACUUUGUCAGUUCUGCUACUGAGUGUAAGUGGAGAAACCAAAGACUCUGAGGAAA
ensembl:snoRNA